GGAUGCGAUCAUAGCAGCAACAAAGCACUGGAUCCCAUUAGAACUCCGAAGUUAAGCGUGCUUGGGGAAGAGUAGUACUAGGAUGGGUGACUUCUUGGGAAGUCCUCAUGUUGCAUUCC
rnacentral:rRNA from 1 species